rnacentral:pre_miRNA from 1 species
CACGUACUCCCUCCGUUCGGAAUUACUUGUCAUAAAAAUGGAUGUAUCUACAACUAAAAUACAUCUAGAUACAUUCAUUUUUUGGACGAGUAAUUCCGAAUGGAGGGAGUAGGUG